UUGUCUUUUUCCCACCCUUUAUCUAUUUUUCCUCUCUCCCUUCCUCUCUAUUGAAGAAAGAAAGAAAGAAUCCAAACCCUCUCCCCCUCCCUCUCUAUUGAAAGUUCCUAUGUUAUCCUCUUUGCUUAGUAUCUUGUUCUCCAUCAAUCCCAGAUUACUUGCAGAUCGAUGAACCUACGAUGAGUUGCAGCAAUGAUUUACAAACUCUAGCAACCAAUUUUUAUGUGGCCUAGUCUACGCGUUGAUGGUGUGCUUAACUAACCCACGAAUCUCCCUCGCUUUCAGGAAGUGCGACAACAAUGAAACCUCCAGAUCUAACUUUUGACGCGAGUGCCCACUUCAUUUAGUUUAAAAACUUUCAGGACGGAAGUAGGAAGAUGCUUGAGUUCAAAUUGGGUGUGGUGAAGUCGACAACUUCAUUAGAAAAAAGUAAGUGUGGUGAAAUUGACGAUGAAACUUCUUGAAGUAUGUAAGCUAAAAAAGACAAUUAUUUAGGAUCAACAAGUAAUUUCAAUUUACAGUUUUAGAGUCUUAUACUUAUUAUAGUUACCACUUUUUUUUUUAAUCUUUGUAAGUUGACUAGCUUAUGGAGGGACGAAUAAUUAUAUUACUUUUGUUGAAGCAAAAGAGUUAAUUGUUAUGUUUGUAGAAAGUUGUGUAUGAAAAUAUCUUAUUA